GAUUGAACUGUGGAGCAAUAAGAAAGAGACAUUCGUGAUUCCGGUUGAUAAAAUUGUUUUGAAAAACCAUGAACCCUAGUUUUUUUGCAAUUUUAUUCGUAUUGUGUGCCGUUCGAAACACAUAUUGCGGUGGUGGCCCUAAGGGAGACUAUAUGAAAUGUGAGGGUGGGGAAGUGAAAUGUUGUAAUCAGUACGGGAAAAAGGAAGAGCUAGAUCUUUCUAAAGCAUUGGGGCUUCUCGCUAUACUAAGUCUUAAGGAUGUCGUUGGUAACAUUGGACUACAGUGCUCACCGGUCACAGCAUCUGUUAUUGGCGGUGGAGGAAGUGGACAAAGUUGUACCCAACAAACUGUAUGCUGUAGUGGUAACAACUUCAAUGGUUUAAUCGCCCUCGGUUGUACGCCUAUUAACCUAAAUUUAGGCUAAAUGCAGCUGCCGUAUUUAACAUUCUUCUGACUGAUGCUUUAUUGCUUGAAAUACUAUUGUGUGCGACGAAAAUAAAUAAAUUUCGAGUGACAA